GAUGAACGCUGGCGGCGUGCCUAAUACAUGCAAGUCGAGCGAACAGACGAGGAGCUUGCUCCUCUGACGUUAGCGGCGGACGGGUGAGUAACACGUGGAUAACCUACCUAUAAGACUGGGAUAACUUCGGGAAACCGGAGCUAAUACCGGAUAAUAUAUUGAACCGCAUGGUUCAAUAGUGAAAGACGGUUUUGCUGUCACUUAUAGAUGGAUCCGCGCCGCAUUAGCUAGUUGGUAAGGUAACGGCUUACCAAGGCGACGAUGCGUAGCCGACCUGAGAGGGUGAUCGGCCACACUGGAACUGAGACACGGUCCAGACUCCGACGGGAGGCAGCAGUAGGGAAUCUUCCGCAAUGGGCGAAAGCCUGACGGAGCAACGCCGCGUGGGUGAUGAAGGUCUUCGGAUCGUAAAACUCUGUUAUUAGGGAAGAACAAAUGUGUAAGUAACUAUGCACGUCUUGACGGUACCUAAUCAGAAAGCCACGGCUAACUACGUG
rnacentral:rRNA from 1 species